GAUAAACGCUGGCGGCGUGCAUGAGACAUGCAAGUCGAACGGACUUCUCGGGCUUGCUCGAGAAGUUAGUGGCGGACGGCUGAGUAACGCGUAGGUGACCUGCCCCGAAGUGGGGAAUAACUGCCCGAAAGGGUGGCUAAUACCGCAUGUGGUCACACGUUCGAUCGUGUGAGUAAAGCCGCAAGGCGCUUUGGGAGGGGCCUGCGUCCGAUUAGCUCGUUGGUGGGGUAACGGCUCACCAAGGCGACGAUCGGUAGGUGGUCUGAGAGGACGAUCACCCAGACUGGGACUGAGACACGGCCCAGACUCCUACGGGAGGCAGCAGUCGGGAAUUUUUGCUCAAUGGGCGAAAGCCUGAAGCAGCAACGCCGCGUGAGGGAUGAAGGCCUUCGGGUUGUAAACC
rnacentral:rRNA from 1 species